GCCGGUCUGGGUAAUGUUGUGGCUCAGUGGCUUUCCAGCAGUCGCACCGAGCGUUCGACCGGCUCGGGCAGUGGGUGUCGCUCCCGCAGGACGGCG
rnacentral:tRNA from 1 species